CCAAAUUCCACCUUGUGUGUGGCCCUCACCAGACUCUGGGAACGGAGCCCUCCUCACCUACCGUGGAGCGAGAGACGCUCCAAGCAUGGUCGCUCCCAUUCCCUGUGGAGAUAAUGGGAAGAAACAGAAACCUGUAGGCUGUGAUUCACCUUACCUCUCAGACAUCUGGGAGAACUGAGAGCCAACAGUGCCUCACACUGUGGUGACCAUUUUGCCCUGUGGAUGUCCUUCUGCUCAGCUGAACUCCACACCUGCUUUUCUUGACAUGACUUGUACUAUGCACACAUCUUUUUCAAUUUCCAUGAAUAUUGACAGAGAUCUCCGCAGUGAAGUGAUGUGAAACUCUCUCAGUGAUUUUCAAGCUAUGCAACCCAUAAAUCACUCACCUUAACCUGGGCCCAGAUUUGCAUGAAACUGGGGGUCGAUUGUCUCAACAACUCAAUCCACCCAAAAGUCCAACCAAUCCUCUCUGGGUGUGAAGCACAGAGUGAAGUUAAAAAGCUCGGACAUGUUCCCUUUAGGAAGGCAAAAAAUGUGAAAUCGAUACCGGGUCUUUUGAAAGCAGGGAGCUGAUUGUGGCUGAUCUGCAGAGCUCUCUUAUAAUCUGCUUCCAAACGUGUGGGUGCCUCUUGGGUUUCCUCAGCUAUUUUAUGGCCUAUUUUCAAAGAUUUUUGUAAAGCCAGGCCAACAAUGUCUGCAUCCCCUACCACAUCAGUGAAAAGUUGGACUGUGUUUCAGAGCUGCGUAAAUUCUUCCUAUAAGAAACAUUUACAUUUUUACAAAGUGUAAAUUUAGGAGACCACGGGGUGAAUUCCUCCCUCAUCACAUUGCAGUCACCACGGGGAUGGGUUGACUAAUAGUUUACCACGAGUGAGCGGAAAAAAAGAGCAGCACGUGUACCUGAACAUUACAAAGGUUUCUUCCAGGAUUGCCCUGACUUGUUCAGAUAGUUGAUAAGAUAAUUAAUUCUUACCGUUCCUGUAUUUUCAUGAGAACUUACCUAUGAGUAAACAAAACCC